rnacentral:rRNA from 1 species
AGCUCCAAGAGCGUAUAUUAAAGUUGUUGCAGUUAAAAAGCUCGUAGUUGAAAUUCUGGUUGCUAGAUUUCUAUGUUCUCACGAGCAGGAAAGUCUACAAUCAUCCGCUUGUAAAUAUAUGCUCAUCCUUAACCGGUUGACUAUAUGAGCAGGCAUUUUACCUUGAGAAAAACAGAGUGUUCCAGGCAGGUUUGUCCGGAAUGCAUUAGCAUGGAAUAAUAGAAUAUGACUGAAGUCUAUUUAAUGGUUUAAGAUUUCAGUAAUGAUUAAUAGGAACAGUCGGGGGCAUUAGUACUUGGCAGUCAGAGGUGAAAUUCUUCGAUUUGUCAAAGACUAACUGAUGCGAAAGCGUUUGCCAAGGAUGUUUUCA